AAAAUGGGGUUUUCUGAGAAGUUAGUUGAUAGGAAUUGGGAGUUGCUUAGAAUAUGGAAUUAAUUCAUUUUUAUCUUUAAUAUAGAUUACUUAUUUGGGAAUGAUACAGCAAAAGGGUUAUGCAUCCUAGCUGAUGAUGUUAUUCAGAGGGCAUGAACACCAUGAGACUAGAGAGAUUAAAGAAUUCUAAACUAAUGAGUAUUCAAAUAUUUAAUCCCUCAAGCUUCAGACACUCAGAUUCUACUUCCUAAGAGACAAUGAGAGCAACAACAUGAGCUGCUUAAUAGUUUAUAAAUAUAAAAGUACCCAUUGUCUGCCAUUUACACACCUUUCCUCAAACAAACAAGUUGGCAAUCUCCCUACAUUACUCAACAUGUCUGCUUCUGCAAACCUUCUAAAGCCACUUAUCUUUAGGGUGGUCUCUCUACUCACCUCAUCAGAAUUGUUUCAACAAUGUCAGUUUCUUGCAGGAACAAGUGCUUUCUCUUCACUCUUCUUGCUCUCCUUGUUUUCUCCGAGGCAGCGAGACCCCCUAAGGCGUAUUGGGAACAAAUGCUCCCCAAGAAGCUCCCAACUCCUUCCUCAUCUCCAUCCAAAGGCACCAAUGCCGUACAAACAUCAUCUUCAACCAUCCUCAAGGCUGAUACAACUCUCUCUUCUUCAGAUGGAAAGGUCUAGCUUAAUUAUGCUUGACCACUUCUGAUUCUACAUAUCUCUAACUGUAGAUUAUGGCUCCUUUGAGACUGCAUAUAUUGGCACAAGAGGGAUUGGUGAAGAGUUCUGUAUAACAGUCUUCACAGCUAUCUGUAUCUAUUAAUCUCCCAACAUCUUGUAGAUUUCUUCGAUGUACGGAUACAUUCUAUUUGUAAAGAGGAUAUAGUACAGAUUUUCUUGAUAGGCGGAUAAAUUUUGCAAUUGGUGAUUUGAUCAGGAUGGAAGAAUGAAUGAGUCAGUCAAUACACAAUAAAGUGAGCUUUUGUUA